AUUGAACGCUGGCGGCAGGCCUAACACAUGCAAGUCGAGCGGAUGAAGGCAGCUUGCUCCUGGAUUCAGCGGCGCACGGGUGAGUAAUGCCUAGGAAUCUGCCUGCUAGUGGGGGAUAACGUCUGGAAACGGGCGCUAAUACCGCAUACGUCCUGCGGGAGAAAGUGGGGGAGCUUCGGACCUCACGCUCUCAGAUGAGCCUAGGUCGGAUUAGCUAGUUGGUGGGGUAAAGGCCUACCAAGGCGACGAUCCGUAACUGGUCUGAGAGGAUGAUCAGUCACACUGGAACUGAGACACGGUCCAGACUCCUACGGGAGGCAGCAGUGGGGAAUAUUGGACAGUGGGCGAAAGCCUGAUCCAGCCAUGCCGCGUGUGUGAAGAAGGUCUUCGGAUUGUAAAGCACUUUAAGUUGGGAGGAAGGGCAGUAAGUUAAUACCUUGCUGUUUUGACGUUACCAACAGAAUAAGCACCGGCUAACUUCGUG
rnacentral:rRNA from 1 species